rnacentral:rRNA from 1 species
CCCUUAGAUGUUCUGGGCCGCACGCGCGCUACACUGAUGCAUUCAACGAGUUUCUUCCUGGUCCGAGAGGAAUGGGUAACCUUUUGAAAGUGCAUCGUGAUAGGGAUAGACUAUUGCAAUUAUUGGUCUUCAACGAGGAAUUCCUAGUAGACGUAGUUCAUCAGAUUGCAUCGAUUACGUCCCUGCCCUUUGUACACACCGCCCGUCGCUCCUACCGAUUGAAUGCUCAGGUGAGCCAUUCGGACUUUCAUCAUGCUGGUUUCCAGUUUUGAUGAAGGAAAGUCUUGCGAACCUUAUCAUUUAGAGGAAGGAGAAGUCGUAACA